rnacentral:rRNA from 1 species
GAUGAACGCUAGCGAUAGGCUUAACACAUGCAAGUCGAGGGGCAGCAUGGUCUUAGCUUGCUAAGACUGAUGGCGACCGGCGCACGGGUGCGUAACGCGUAUGCAACUUGCCUCACAGAGGGGGAUAACCCGUCGAAAGACGGACUAAUACCGCGUACACUUGGGAUAGGGCAUCCUGACCCAAGGAAAUGAAAUUCGCUGUGAGAUAGGCAUGCGUCCCAUUAGCUAGUUGGUGAGGUAACGGCUCACCAAGGCGACGAUGGGUAGGGGAACUGAGAGGUUGAACCCCCACACUGGUACUGGGACACGGACCAGACUCCUACGGGAGGCAGCAGUGAGGAAUAUUGGUCAAUGGGCGAGAGCCUGAACCAGCCAAGUCGCGUGAAGGAUGACUGUCUUAUGGAUGGUAAACUUCUUUUAUACGGGAAUAACAAGAGUCACGUGUGGCUCCCUGCAUGUACCGUAUGAAUAAGCAUCGGCUAACUCCGUG